GGGCUGCAACGAAAGACACGGAAAUGAGCCAGGUCGCCGGGGACAGGCUGUCCUCUUAAUUAUCAAAGAACUGAUGAGCAGCCAGUGUCUGCAGAUCACCUGCGGAGAAGCGCGAUAUGAACAAAAUGCUGUCUUCGUCCUUAAAUAACCUCAAAGUUGGCUGGGGACACAAAGACAUUUAUGGAGAACUAGCAAUAUAAAUCUGUAAGAGUCAUUAUGAUGCCUGGUUGCUAGGAGCUCUGAGGUAGAGCGAGCCCAGAAGAUAGGAGUUGCCGACACGCUGCCUCCAUCCGCUGUCUCUGGGACUGACACCGUCUUCCCAACACCCAACCUUGGUCCCCUCAGCCCCUCCCUGCGGCCAGGGGCCGCCUCAGGCGGGAGAGCAAGCAGCAGCCAGGCCACCUACCGGGUUGUUGCUGGCCUUCCCUGCCAGGAUGACCCGGGCCUUGACCUUGUUCAUGUUGAAGUUCUUGAGGUAGGCCUCAUAAAUUCUCUUGGCGAGGGACUUCAGAUCUGCUGUUUCUGCAUCUUCUGGGUCAUGUUCGCAGCUGCGGUCACAUCUGUCAUAGGCCAGCUUCAGCCGAAUGGUUCGCCGGAAGAAACCCUGUGGGAUGGGCGCAAGGUUGGGGAGGGGUGUUUCUGGCCAUUCAUUUACUGUAAUUUUCAAAUGAACUGAAAUUAGUAAAAUUGUUCUAAGAAGUCUGACUUAAUUGGGACAAACUGAAAAAUUUAAAUUUCAUUACACGUAAGACGAAAAACCAACAAAGUGAGGCAAAAUUCAAAGUCGUUCCAAGACGUCCUUGUCUGGCUUGGGAAGACAGUGGUUAUCGUCUCCCAGAGUCACUUAGUCUUAAUUUGUCCAAGUGUCGCUUUCCCUCCCCAACUCACAUCCCGAUCUGUGACUGCACGGAUCUCUGUGUAAGAGAAUACUAGCCCCUUCAAGACAAAAAUUACAAUGAACUCAUAAAAGGCAGCCACCUGGUGGUAAAGAAGUCACACUUUACAAAAGCUUAUCUUAAACUCUACCCAGUAAGAACCUUUAGUAUUUAGUCCAUGAGAAACAAAAUGUAACAACAGGAACUCAGGCACAGCCCUGGGGUAAAAGUUACUCUGCAAGUAACUUCUCUCACAAGUUCAUGGUCAGAAGGCUUGUGAAGCGUCUGUAUUUGCUUUGGUGCUUUCUCUGUUAGCUUCCCACUUCCCACUGCCUGUUUCACACCGGGCAGGUCUGGAAUGCCUGCGGGAGCAGGGACAGCAAUUUCUUGGGGGACAGGAGGGAGGUUGGCGCCUUCCCUCAGCUGGAUCUCUAAGUCUGUAAAGUGGGGAGGGCCAGAGCAGGCCAGGAGCAUGAGGAGGCUGAAGAGAGAAUUCUGCCUGUCAGAAGGCAGCGUGGCCCUUUCUCCCCACAGCCCAGGCCUCCAAGGCCAGCCCGGGCUCCGGUGCGGCGCUGCUCUCAAGGACGUGGGUUGUGCCCACACCAGAAAGGGCUGUGGUGUCUUCCAAAGUCAGCAAACCGUCUCAGCAUGCACAGGGAAGAGUUCCAACUUUAACUGAACACGAGAUGACGAGACCCUGCGCGUAUCAGGUACAUGAAAUACCGAAGCUGAGAGUGCACACACAGUCCUAAAAGCACGAUGUGGGGGCCUGACACCGCUGACUGACAGAUCCUUUUAGUGAUGAUCAAAAUCUGUGCUUAAAAAGAAGCAGCCAUUGUCCCAAGCAGGGACACUCUCCCCUGCUGGGGUCCACCGUACCUUACAGCCUUCACACGCGUGAACUCCGUAAUGGUAGCCUGAAGCUUUGUCCCCACAUAUCCUACAUUCAAUGUUCAAGGCUAUGCUGGAAGGUUCAUCAGCACUACCGGCCGCCACUGGGUACGUGACCGAUGAGGGGCUUGAAGCUGGUGAGAGGGUGUCUGAGAACAGAGGAGAAAGACCGAUGAGCGCUCCAGACAACGUUGCCGUCGAUGUCUAUGCCAGGUUCAAGAGGACACGACUGCAUGUGAGGAGGCGCCGGCUAGUAGGCAGAGCUCCCGGCCUGGGUUGGCCCCUGUCCUGGGCUGUCCCACCCCCACCCUGUGUGCCUCCAGUUACUGCGGUUACAUCCGCAAAGCGGCUGGGAGGCCCCUGGGUUCUGGACCCACAACCCCAGCUGUCUCCCCCUCACCCCUGACCUUGGCGCGGCUUACACACAAUUUUUACUUUGCUGCCCUCCACUCUUCUGCAAAUGUUAACUCCAUAAAUCACACCAGAAUACAGGAUGAAAAUCCAUGUGGGCAACAUCGGAAGCAACAAUCCAUGAAAGAUU